UGCUGAGCAAACUUAGCUUGUAGAAACGUAGGGAAGAGUUUCAGCAGUACUGGAUGGAGCAUUGGUUAAGUGACUGUUGCACUUGCAAAUCCCCCCAAGUGACCCCAUCGUGGAGCAUGGGGAAGAUGAUGUUUUGAAGAGGACCGUCCUGGCAAAGGGGUGUGAGAGGGAUCCGAAGGCCAGAGGACCAGUUUUCCUAUUUAGCUGUCAGCUGAAGACAGCAUCCAAUCGAAAUGAACAGUUGUAGCGAGUGAGAAUGCUGUCCUGAAACGCCCCGUGCACAUGAUAACAUCAAAAAGGCCACACCAGCUUAGCUUAAAAAUCCUUCUAGUCCAUGUCGUUCCUUCAAGAGUGAUCCACUGUGGCCAAAACUAAGGUGAGCGUGAAACAGAACCAACAUAUGGCAGCAUUUCCUUUGUGUAGCCCCUCACUGUGGAGAUCUGUUGCCCUGACUUCCUCAAUCAGAGGUGUUAUUUUUGUGAUUUUUAUGUGGAAUAUUAAGAAAAUCUUCAGUUAAUGACUUUGAAAUUAUCUAUCUGGAGAGAAAUUUUCUCUUUCCCGUGUUAAUGGUUGGCUUAUGCCUGAAAACAUGAAGUUAAUGGUAAGAGUUGGACGACACUGUUGAUAUUAAGUAUACUCUACAUUCUCACUGUGAAUUUGUCUUAAUUCUUCUGUUUGUAAUACUCUUCUCUCAGAGACCU